UGGGGAAUAUUGCACAAUGGGCGCAAGCCUGAUGCAGCCAUGCCGCGUGUAUGAAGAAGGCCUUCGGGUUGUAAAGUACUUUCAGCGGGGAGGAAGGGAGUAAAGUUAAUACCUUUGCUCAUUGACGUUACCCGCAGAAGAAGCACCGGCUAACUCCGUGCCAGCAGCCGCGGUAAUACGGAGGGUGCAAGCGUUAAUCGGAAUUACUGGGCGUAAAGCGCACGCAGGCGGUUUGUUAAGUCAGAUGUGAAAUCCCCGGGCUGAACCUGGGAACUGCAUCUGAUACUGGCAAGCUUGAGUAUCGUAGAGGGGGGUGGAAUUCCAGGUGUAGCGGUGAAAUGCGUAGAGAUCUGGAGGAAUACCGGUGGCGAAGGCGGCCCCCUGGACGAAGACUGACGCUCAGGUGCGAAAGCGUGGGGAGCAAACAGG
rnacentral:rRNA from 1 species